GACGAACGCUGGCGGCGUGCUUAACACAUGCAAGUCGAGCGGUAAGGCCCUUUCGGGGGUACACGAGCGGCGAACGGGUGAGUAACACGUGGGUGACCUGCCCUCAGCUCUGGGAUAAGCCUGGGAAACCGGGUCUAAUACUGGAUAUGACUCCAUGACGCAUGUUGUGGGGUGGAAAGCCUUGUGCGGCUGAGGAUGGGCCCGCGGCCUAUCAGCUUGUUGGUGGGGNGACGGCCUACCAAGGCGACGACGGGUAGCCGGCCUGAGAGGGCGACCGGCCACACUGGGACUGAGACACGGCCCAGACUCCUACGGGAGGGCAGCAGUGGGGAAUCUUGCGCAAUGGGCGAAAGCCUGACGCAGCGACGCCGCGUGAGGGAUGACGGCCU
rnacentral:rRNA from 1 species